CAGUCGCCGCGGUAAUACGAAGGGGGCUAGCGUUGUUCGGAUUAACUGGGCGUAAAGGGCGCGUAGGCGGGUUUUUAAGUCAGAGGUGAAAUCCCAAGGCUCAACCUUGGAGCUGCCUUUGAUACUGGAAAUCUUGAGUCCGGGAGAGGUGAGUGGAACUGCGAGUGUAGAGGUGAAAUUCGUAGAUAUUCGCAAGAACACCAGUGGCGAAGGCGGCUCACUGGCCCGGUACUGACGCUGAGGCGCGAAAGCGUGGGGAGCAAACAGGAUUAGAUACCCCUGUAGUCCCUGUCUCUUAUAC
rnacentral:rRNA from 1 species